GUAUUUAGUACAAAAUAAAAUUUGAAUAAAAAAAUGUUAAUUUUUUUAUUAAGAAUUGAAAUAAAUUAACUUAAGAAUUAACCUUCAAUUAAAAUAAAAAAAAUUUUUGAUUAAAUAAAUCUUUAUAUUAAAAUUAUAUUUAAUAUUAUUAAAAAAUUAAUUAUGUUAAAAUUAGUAUAAUAUUAUUAUUUUUUUAAGGAACUCGGCUUUCAUCUGUUUAUCAAAAACAUAGUCUUAUGAAUAUAUUAGGUGAAACCUGCCCACUGAUUUUUAACGGCCGCAGUACUUUGACUGUGCUAAGGUAGCAUAAUAAAUUGACUCUUAAUUGGGGCCUUGAAUGAAAGGAUUAAUGGACAAUUUCUGUCUUAAUUAAAUAAAUUUUAAUUUACUUAAAAGGUGAAAAUUCCUUUAAUUUAAUAAAAUAGACGAGAAGACCCUAGGAGUUAUUUUGUUGGGGCGACAAUAUAGCAUAACCUAUUAUUUAUAAAAAACGAAAUAUUUUAAUAAUAAAUUAACUACCCUAGGGAUAACAGCAUAAUUUAAUUUAAGUUUGUGACCUCGAUGUUGGACUAGGGACUUUUAAAGCUAAUCGCGUUAA
rnacentral:rRNA from 1 species